GGCCCAGAUUAGAUUUUCCACGGUGCUGUUGCAGUUUCCACUCUGCCCAAGUGACUCAACACCACCUUUGCCAUCCCUCUUUCCUGUCUCCCACAACACAGCUCCCAGACUUUUCCCUGAAGUGACCUGGGCCUCCUUCCACUCCUCCUGAAAAUUCCUGCACCAAGACAAUGAUUCCUAGGAAAGGACAAGAGAACUUUGUGUACCAAGAACUCUGCUGACUACAAAGGGAGCCCAGAAUGACUCAUUUCAGUGGAGGUGUCCAAAUUAAAUGCCAGCACUGCCUGAUGAACUCUACCUCCCCCUCUUC